rnacentral:ncRNA from 1 species
UGCCGCGGUCCAAGGGGCGAUCUUUCCCAAAGGACUACGAGGGAGAAAGGACCCCACCAAACCCCACCCCUCCCGCCCAAGGCGCACGCUCACUCGCCAGGGUGAACAUCGUCAACUCGGCUGGCGUGGCGCCCGGUUCUGCGUUCUACGCUCAGCGCAGCAACCGCACAAAAGCAACGGCCCUCGGCCGGGACUAGCGAUCCCGAUCGAGGGCCUGACCACCUGGGAAGCAGAACCUUCCCG